GAUGAACGCUAGCUACAGGCUUAACACGAUGCAAGUCGAGGGGUAGCAGGGUAGCAAUACCGCUGACGACCGGCGCACGGGUGAGUAACACGUAUCCAACCUUCCCAUAACUCUGGGAUAGCCUUUCGAAAGAAAGAUUAAUACCGGAUGGUACUUUUUCAAGGCAUCUUGAGAAAGUUAAAGAUUUAUUGGUUAUGGAUGGGGAUGCGUUCCAUUAGAUAGUUGGUGAGGUAACGGCUCACCAAGUCUUCGAUGGAUAGGGGUUCUGAGAGGAAGGUCCCCCACAUUGGUACUGAGACACGGACCAAACUCCUACGGGAGGCAGCAGUGAGGAAUAUUGGUCAAUGGGCGAGAGCCUGAACCAGCCAAGUAGCGUGAAGGAUGAAGGUCCUAUGGAUUGUAAACUUCUUUUAUAGUAGAAUAAAGUGACCCACGUGUGGGUUUUUGUAUGUAUACUAUGAAUAAGGAUCGGCUAACUCCGUG
rnacentral:rRNA from 1 species